rnacentral:rRNA from 1 species
GGACGGGUGAGUAACACGUGGGCAACCUACCUGUAAGACUGGGAUAACUCGCGGAAACGCGAGCUAAUACCGGAUGAAACUUUUCAUCUCCUGAUGGAAAGAUGAAAGGCGGCUUCGGCUGUCACUUACAGAUGGGCCCGCGGCGCAUUAGCUAGUUGGUGGGGUAAUGGCUCACCAAGGCGACGAUGCGUAGCCGACCUGAGAGGGUGAUCGGCCACACUGGGACUGAGACACGGCCCAGACUCCUACGGGAGGCAGCAGUAGGGAAUCUUCCGCAAUGGACGAAAGUCUGACGGAGCAACGCCGCGUGAGUGAUGAAGGUUUUCGGAUCGUAAAACUCUGUUGUUGGGGAAGAACAAGUAUCGUUCGAAUAGGGCGGUACCUUGACGGUACCUAACCAGAAAGCCCCGGCUAACU